UACGAACUGUCCUACCGUUGUUCGGAAUCACUGGGCUUAAAGGGCGCGUAGGCGGUCCGACAAGUCAGGGGUGAAAUCCUGCAGCUUAACUGCAGAAGUGCCUUUGAUACUGUCGGUCUUGAGGGAGAUAGGGGUGAGCGGAACUCACAGUGGAGCGGUGAAAUGCGUUGAUAUUGUGAGGAACGCCGGAGGCGAAAGCGGCGCACUGGAUCUCUUCUGACGCUGAGGCGCGAAAGCUAGGGGAGCAAACGGG
rnacentral:rRNA from 1 species